UACGGGGGGUGCGAGCGUUGUCCGGAAUCACUGGGCGUAAAGGGCGCGUAGGUGGUUUGAUAAGGGUGUGGUGAAAGUCCGGGGCUCAACCCCGGAUCUGCCGUGCCGACUGUCAAACUCGAGGGCUGUAGAGGCAGACGGAAUUCCGGGUGUAGCGGUGGAAUGCGUAGAGAUCCGGAGGAACACCUAUGGCGAAGGCAGCUCGCUGGGACGUUACUGACGCUGAGACGCGAAAGCGUGGGGAGCAAACAGG
rnacentral:rRNA from 1 species